GAUGAACGCUGGCGGCGUGCCUAAUACAUGCAAGUCGAGCGAACGGACGAGAAGCAUGCUUUUCUGAUGUUAGCGGCGGACGGGUGAGUAACACGUGGAUAACCUACCUAUAAGACUGGGAUAACUUCGGGAAACCGGAGCUAAUACCGGAGAAUAUUUUGAACCGCAUGGGUCAAAAGUGAAAGACGGUCUUGCUGUCACUAAUAGAUGGAAACGCGCUGCAUUAGAUAGUUGGUAAGGUAACGGCUUACCAAGGGAACGAUGCAUAGCCGACCUGAGAGCGUGAACGGCCUGACCGGAACUGAGACACGGCCAAGACGCCACCGGGAGGCGGCCGAGGCGAAUCCUGCGCAAUGGGGGAAAGACUGACGCGGCAACGGCGAGUGAGUGAUGAAGCACUUCCGAGCGUAAAACUCUGUUAUUAGGGAUGAACAUCUGUGUACGUAACUGUGCACAUCUUGACGGUACCUAAUCAGAAAGCAACGGCUAACUACGUG
rnacentral:rRNA from 1 species